AGCGAACGCUGGCGGCAGGCUUAACACAUGCGAGUCGAGCGGACCUUUCGGGGUCAGCGGCGGACGGGUGAGUAACGCGUGGGAACGUGCCUUCCGGUUCGGAAUAACCCUGGGAAACUAGGGCUAAUACCGGAUACGCCCUUAUGGGGAAAGGUUUACUGCCGGAAGAUCGGCCCGCGUCUGAUUAGCUAGUUGGUGGGGUAACGGCCUACCAAGGCGACGAUCAGUAGCUGGUCUGAGAGGAUGAUCAGCCACACUGGGACUGAGACACGGCCCAGACUCCUACGGGAGGCAGCAGUGGGGAAUAUUGGACAAUGGGCGCAAGCCUGAUCCAGCCAUGCCGCGUGAGUGAUGAAGGCCUUAGGGUUGUAAAGCUCUUUUAUCCGGGACGAUAAUGACGGUACCGGAGGAAUAAGCCCCGGCUAACUUCGU
rnacentral:rRNA from 1 species